AGAGUUUGAUCCUGGCUCAGGACGAACGCUGGCGGCGUGCUUAACACAUGCAAGUCGAACGGUGAAGUCCCUUCGGGGACGGAUCAGUGGCGAACGGGUGAGUAACACGUGGGCAAUCUGCCCCUCACUGUGGGAUAACUCCGGGAAACCGGGGCUAAUACCGCAUAUGAAACCUGGCGGCAUCGCCGGGUUUGGAAAGUUUUUCGGUGAGGGAUGAGCCCGCGGCCUAUCAGCUUGUUGGUGAGGUAAUGGCUCACCAAGGCGACGACGGGUAGCCGGCCUGAGAGGGCGACCGGCCACACUGGGACUGAGACACGGCCCAGACUCCUACGGGAGGCAGCAGUGGGGAAUAUUGGGCAAUGGGCGAAAGCCUGACCCAGCGACGCCGCGUGC
rnacentral:rRNA from 1 species